rnacentral:rRNA from 1 species
AGUGGGGCGGGCGUGCCUAUACAUGCAAGUCGAUGUGUGAUAACUGAUUUGAAGAGCUUGCUCAGAUAUGACGAUGGACAUUGCAAAGAGUGGCGAACGGGUGAGUAACACGUGGGAAACCUACCUCUUAGCAGGGGAUAACAUUUGGAAACAGAUGCUAAUACCGUAUAACAAUGACAACCGCAUGGUUGUUAUUUAAAAGAUGGUUCUGCUAUCACUAAGAGAUGGUCCCGCGGUGCAUUAGCUAGUUGGUAAGGUAAUGGCUUACCAAGGCGAUGAUGCAUAGCCGAGUUGAGAGACUGAUCGGCCACAAUGGGACUGAGACACGGCCCAUACUCCUACGGGAGGCAGCAGUAGGGAAUCUUCCACAAUGGGCGAAAGCCUGAUGGAGCAACGCCGCGUGUGUGAUGAAGGGUUUCGGCUCGUAAAACACUGUUGUAAGAGAAGAAUGACAUUGAGAGUAACUGUUCAAUGUGUGACGGGUAUCUUACCAGAAAGGA